AAUGUACUUUCCAGGGUGUGAAUUUUAUCUCUAAAACUCGCAAACAGAGAACUUCACAGGGAAAAUAGUUUUGUAUCUUGUGUCAAACGUAAGAUCAGAUGGCUGCCUUUCACUAAUCUUAC